ACUCAAAGGAAUUGACGGGGGCCCGCACAAGCGGUGGAGCAUGUGCUUUAAUUCGAUGCAACGCGAAGAACCUUACCCAGGCUUGACAUGGGGGUGUAAGCUCAUAGAAAUAUGAGACCUUCCGCAAGGAACGCCCUACACAGGUGCUGCAUGGUUGUCGUCAGCUCGUGUCGUGAGAUGUUGGGUUAAGUCCCGCAACGAGCGCAACCCUCGCCCUUAGUUGCCAUCAGGUAAUGCUGGGAACUCUAAGGGGACUGCCCGGUUUAACCGGGAGGAAGGUGGGGAUGACGUCAAAUCCUCAUGGCCCUUACGCCUGGGGCUAGACACGUGCUACAAUGGCCGGUACAGCGGGCAGCAAGCUGGUGACAGCAAGCUAAUCCCUCAAAACCGGUCUCAGUUCGGAUAGGAGUCUGCAAUUCGACUCCUUGAAGUUGGAAUCGCUAGUAAUCGCGGAUCAGCAUGCCGCGGUGAAUACGUUCCCGGGCCUUGUACACACCGCCCGU
rnacentral:rRNA from 1 species